GACGAACGCUGGCGGCGUGCUUAACACAUGCAAGUCGAACGGAAAGGCCCUGCUUUUGUGGGGUGCUCGAGUGGCGAACGGGUGAGUAACACGUGAGUAACCUGCCCUUGACUUUGGGAUAACUUCAGGAAACGGGGGCUAAUACCGGAUAGGAGCUCCUGCUGCAUGGUGGGGGUUGGAAAGUUUCGGCGGUUGGGGAUGGACGCGCGGGUUAUCAGCUUGUUGGUGGGGUAGUGGUUUACCAAGGGUUUGGCGGGUAGCCGGCCCGAGAGGGUGACCGGGCACAUUGGGCCUGCGGUAGGGACCAGACGCGUACGGGGGGCAGAAGGGGGGAGCCUUGCACAGUGGGAGGAAGCCUGAUGAAGCAGCGCCGGGUGCGGGAUGACGGCUUGCGGGUUGUAAACCGCUUUCGCCUGUGACGAAGCGUGAGUGACGGUAAUGGGUAAAGAAGCACCGGCUAACUACGUG
rnacentral:rRNA from 1 species